GAUGAACGCUGGCGGCGUGCCUAAUACAUGCAAAUCGAGCAAACAGACCAGGAGCUUGCUCCUCUGACCUUAGCGGCGCACGGGACAGUAACACGUGGAUAACCUACCUAUAAGACUGGGAUAACUUCGGGAAACCGGAUCUAAUACCGGAUCAUAUAUUGAACCGCAUAGUUCAAUAGUGAAAGACGGUUUUGCUGUCACUUAUAGAUGGAUCCGCGCCGCAUUAGCUACUUGGUAAGGUUACGGCUUACCAAGGCCACGAUGCGUAGCCGACCUUAGAGGGUGAUGGGUCACACUGGAAUCGAGACACGGUGCAGACUCCCACGGGAGGCAGCAGUAGGGAAUCUUCCGCACUGGGCGAAAGCCUGACGGACCAACGCCGCGCGAGUGAUGAAGGUCUUCGCAGCGGAAAACUCCGUUCUGAGGGAAGAACAAAUGGGUCAGUAACUAUGCACGUCUUGACGGUAGCUAAACAGAACGGAACGGCUAACCACGUG
rnacentral:rRNA from 1 species